UCGGCCGUCAAAAUGGAUGUGAAGUGUUGUUUAUUUAUGUUCAUAUCACAGCCACUUUGAUGAGCCGAU